GGUUAAGUUACUAAGGGCACACGGUGGAUGCCUUGGCGCUAGGAGCCGAAGAAGGACGCAGCGAACUGCGAUAAGCCUCGGGGAGCGGUAAGCACGCUUUGAUCCGGGGAUCUCCGAAUGGGGCAACCCACCAUCUGUAAUGGGAUGGUAUCCUUCACUGAAUCCAUAGGUGAUGAGAGGGCAGACCCGGUGAACUGAAACAUCUAAGUAGCCGGAGGAAGAGAAAACAAUAGUGAUUCCGUCAGUAGUGGCGAGCGAACGCGGAAGAGCCUAAACCGUCGGGUUUACCCGGCGGGGUUGUGGGGCGUCUCACAUGGAGUUACAAAGGAUGGAUGUAGAUGAACAGUCUGGGAAGGCUGACCAAAGAGCGUGACAGUCGCGUAAUCCAAACAUCCAUCCCUCCGAGACCAACCCCGAGUAGCGCGGGACACGUGAAAUCCCGUGUGAAUCUGGCAGGACCAUCUGCUAAGGCUAAAUACUACCUAGCGACCGAUAGUGAACCAGUACCGUGAGGGAAAGGUGAAAAGCACCCCGGGAGGGGAGUGAAACAGUACCUGAAACCGUGUGCUUACAAAUAGUCGGAGCUCGUUAAAAGAGUGACGGCGUGCCUUUUGUAGAAUGAACCGGCGAGUUACGGUAGCGUGCGAGGUUAAGUCGAAGAGACGGAGCCGCAGCGAAAGCGAGUCUGAAUAGGGCGCAAGUACGUUGCCGUAGACCCGAAACCGUGUGAUCUAGCCAUGUCCAGGGUGAAGGUAGGGUAACACCUACUGGAGGCCCGAACCCACGCACGUUGAAAAGUGCGGGGAUGAGGUGUGGCUAGCGGUGAAAUUCCAAUCGAACUCGGAGAUAGCUGGUUCUCCCCGAAAUAGCUUUAGGGCUAGCCUCGGAAUU
rnacentral:rRNA from 2 species